AUUAACUCAGUUUGCUGCCAGUGCUUCUACUGUGCUCUUACUGGCUAUUUUCAUUUAUACCUGCUGCUGAGUCAUGACCACCCAAAAUCUACAUGUUGAAGCUCUAACUCCCAGUAACUCAGAAUGUGACUGUUUAUUUGGGGAUUGGGCUUUUAGUGGGGUGAUUAGGUUAAAGUGAGGCUGUUAGGGUCGGCCCUAAUGCAAUCUGUCUGGUGUCUUUAUAAGAAGAGGGAAUUUGGACACACAGAGACACCAGACUAGUGUGUGCACAGAGGAAACGAAGACACAGCAAGAAGGCGGCCACCCUGCAGGCCAUGAAGAGAGGGCUCAGGAGAAACCAGACCCACCAACAGUUUGAUCUUGAACUCUGAGCCUCCAGAACUGUGAGAAAAUAAUCGUCUGUUGUUGAAGCCACCCAGUCUGUGGUACUUUGUUACGGCAGCCCCAGCAAUGGAUACACGUGCUGUAAUGCAGAAGCUUAUGCCAGACUCUGUCUUCUUCUGACCAGACACUAAAGAGAUUUGUAAAACUGUAAAACAGUGCCACUCUCUUACUAAUUUGGGGGAGCGGUAGAGACGGU
rnacentral:lncRNA from 1 species